UCCUCUUCUCUCUCCCUAUUUUCUAGAUUACAACUAGAACUAACUAGAACUAGAACUAGAGGAACUAGAACUAGAACUAGAUGAACUAGAACUAGAUCUAGAUGAACUAGAGGUAGAACUAGAAGAACUAGAGGGAUCCUCUCUACUUGGAUGAAGAAUUGAAACCCUAACUUUGAUUCUGUAGAAGAGGUAUGAUCUCCAGGGGCCAGGGGGGUCUGGUUUUAUAGUCCCUUCAAGUGAAUCUGGGCCGUCGGAUCAAACUGACAUUGAUCGUGUGGUUUUCCUUGAAGUAUUAGGUCGGUGGAGCAUGAUCCCCGAACUUCACCCUGAUUGGUCCAGGGGGGAGGGCGGGCGCCCAGUAAGGGAGGGCAGGCGCCCAGUGCCCGGCUCCGUUACGUCUCCCGUUCGGUCCCGUGGCUUCUGGAGUCUUCUAGAUGAUAGAAAAUUGCGCGGCACGUUAAUAUCUCUAUGUAAACCCGACGUGUGGGCCUUUCUUCCGUAUUUCCUGAUAACCCCCUGCAGAAAUAGACAAACACCAAAACUCGUGGAAUUCUGUCAGAUAAAACCCUAAGUCUAGGUGUUGGUUGCAUUUAGAUCCUUUUCCAUGAUUAGUUGAUGGUUAAAUGUGAGCAUUAAGGACCGUCAACAAGCUCCCCCAAGCUUAACCUUUGCUCGUCCCUGAGCAAAGCUAAAAUCAUCAAGAAAACAGGGGUUACUUUUAUGCCUCUUACUAUAGGGUUUUUAAGGUCUUAAGUGAUUGAAAAACAGAACGAUCAAGUCAAGCACUAUGUCUCAAGUUCUUCUAUCUUACCUUUGUUCUGGAGUUUUUUAUAAGUCUGCAAAAUAAAACUGAGGCAUUUGCCUUCUUCUCGAAAGAUAUAUAAGUAGAGCUUUAAAAGUUUUAGCAUACUUACUUUGCAUUUUGCUAUGUCAACACUCGGAGUAAGGGAGAGGAAUGUCAUACUCCUAGAUCAAGACCUUUGACCUUUUUAAGAAGUUUGUCAUCUCUUACUGGCAUAUUGCUUAUUAGAGGGACCAUGGGCUAUCAUUUUUUUUCUUUUUUUUCUCUUUUUUUUCAAGUGGGCAGCAAGUACCCCUAAUUCUACUGUCGGACACAUGUCCAUUUUUUCCACUCAGGUGGGUAUCUUUGUACCCCUAAUUCUACUUCGGACACUUGUCCAUUUUUACCUCUCGUCUCACUCUCUUUUUUUUUCAAAUCAAAUUUUUGCAUAGUCCCAUGCCUCUAACGCAAUAAUACUUCGGAAGAGUGAAUCUUUUAUAUUUUAAAACAAAAAGAUCUUGAUCUUGGGAGCAUGAUAAUUCUCUCAACCAAAACUACAAGAAUUAACAAUGGCUUGAACAAAGCAAGUGCCCACAGUUUUAAUAUUUAUAUCUUAUAAGACUCUAGGUAUUAUGAUCUAUAUAUAUAUAUUUUUUUAUGAAUUUUUAGAUUUUCAAAAGAUAAAAUCUCCAGAACUCUAGCAAAACUUGGAACAAGUUAAAUAGUAGCUCAGACCUUCUCAUAUCAUGUUUGUCAAUUACCUAGACUUGAACCAAACUUUCUUUUUAUUUAAAACUUAGGAUUACACAAAACUAUUGUAUAUUACUCAAAAGAAAAACUUUGUUUGGUUUCAUGGUUAUGCAUUUUUUUAUUUCUGAAUACUAGUAAAUAAAACUCAGAAAGAAAAGUAAUACUUAUCUAGAUACACGUGGGGGUGCCUCCCCCAAGCUGGAUGUUGACAUAGUCGUUCACUCUUGUAGCCUGCAUGUUUGGUUUCACUCUUCUUAAGCCUCAAAAUCCUGCACAACUCAAAUAGACAACAAAACUUGUGGAGCAUGUUAAGGGUUAGGUAAUUGUCUAGAGCUUAUGAGAGCUUAAUAUGAGAAUUCUAUGAACUCAAUCACAUCAAGUUCCUCUACCAGGUUGUUUUGUGGCUCGAGAUAGAUUUUCAAGCGUUGACCAUUUACCUUAAAAGUGUUACCCAUGUCGUCUUGGAUGGUAAUGGCUCCAUGAGUUGAAGUGUCAAUAACCUUGUAUGGUCCAUCCCACUUACUUCGUAGUUUACCAUGACCAAAGAGCUUAACUCUUGAAUUGAAUAGUAGAACCUUAUCUCCAGGCUUAAACUCCUUGUGCUUGAUUCUCUUAUCAUGCCAUCGUUUUGUUCUCUCUUUAUAGAUCCUUGAAUUGUGGUAGGCUUUCUCUCUCCAUUCUUCUAGCUCAGAUAGUUGCAUCAGACG
rnacentral:lncRNA from 1 species